CUUGUACUGUGAAACUGCGAAUGGCUCAUUAAAUCAGUUAUGGUUUCUUUGAUGGUACCUUGCUACUUGGAUACCCGUAGUAAUUCUAGAGCUAAUACAUGCAGGAGUGCCCGACUUCGGAAGGGCUGUAUUUAUUAGAUAAGAAACCUUCUCGGGUUCGCCCGGUUGUGUGCUGAGUCAUAAUAACUGCUCGAAUCGCACGGCUCUACGCCGGCGAUGGUUCAUUCAAAUUUCUGCCCUAUCAGCUUUCGAUGGUAGGAUAGAGGCCUACCAUGGCGUUAACGGGUAACGGAGAAUUAGGGUUCGAUUCCGGAGAGGGAGCCUGAGAAAUGGCUACCACAUCCAAGGAAGGCAGCAGGCGCGUAAAUUGCCCGAAUCCUGACACAGGGAGGUAGUGACAAGAAAUAACAAUACAGGGCUACUUCUAGUCUUGUAAUUGGAAUGAGUACAACUUACAUCUCUUCACGAGGAUCAACUGGAGGGCAAGUCUGGUGCCAGCAGCCGCGGUAAUUCCAGCUCCAGAAGCGUAUAUUAAAGUUGUUGCAGUUAAAACGCUCGUAGUCGGGUUUCGGGUCGGGCCGAGCGGUCUGCCGAUGGGUAUGCACUGUUUGGCGCGGCCUUCUUUCCGGAGACCGCGGCUACUCUUAACUGAGCGGGCGUGGGAGACGGAUCGUUUACUUUGAAAAAAUCAGAGUGUUUCAAGCAGGCAGCUCGCUCUUGCAUGGUACAGCAUGGGAUGAUUGAAUAGGACUCCGGUGCUAU
rnacentral:rRNA from 1 species